rnacentral:rRNA from 1 species
CGCUGGCGGUAUGCUUACACAUGCAAGUCGAACGGUCUCUUCGGAGAUAGUGGCGGACGGGUGAGUAACGCGUGAGAAUCUGCCUUCAGGUCUGGGACAACCAUUGGAAACGGUGGCUAAUACCGGAUGAGCAGAGAUGUAAAAGAUUAAUUGCCUGAAGAUGAGCUCGCGUCUGAUUAGCUAGUUGGUGGGGUAAGAGCCUACCAAGGCGACGAUCAGUAGCUGGUCUGAGAGGAUGAUCAGCCACACUGGGACUGAGACACGGCCCAGACUCCUACGGGAGGCAGCAGUGGGGAAUUUUCCGCAAUGGGCGAAAGCCUGACGGAGCAAUACCGCGUGAGGGAGGAAGGCUCUUGGGUCGUAAACCUCUUUUCUCAGGGAAGAAAAAAAUGACGGUACCUGAGGAAUAAGCAUCGGCUAACUCCGUGCCAGCAGCCGCGGUAAUACGGAGGAUGCAAGCGUUAUCCGGAAUGAUUGGGCGUAAAGCGUCCGCAGGUGGCUAUGUAAGUCUGCUGUUAAAGAGUCUAGCUCAACUAGAUAAAAGCAGUGGAAACUACAUGGCUAGAGUGCGUUCGGGGCAGAGGAAUUCCUGGUGUAGCGGUGAAAUGCGUAGAGAUCAGGAAGAACACCGGUGGCGAAAGCGCUCUGCUAGGCCGCAACUGACACUGAGGGACGAAAGCUAGGGGAGCGAAUGGGAUUAGAUACCCCGUAGUCCUAGCCGUAAACGAUGGAUACUAGGCGUGGCUUGUAUCGACCCGAGCCGUGCCGUAGCUAACGCGUUAAGUAUCCCGCCUGGGGAG